AUUCCUAAUCGAAUUCAUUUUAUUUUAUUUUCAAGAUUUAAAACUUUACAUCAAGAAUUUAAAAUUUUAA
rnacentral:tRNA from 1 species